rnacentral:rRNA from 1 species
UACGUAGGGGGCAAGCGUUGUCCGGAAUUAUUGGGCGUAAAGAGCGUGUAGGCGGCUCGGUAAGUCUGGUGUGAAACCUUGGGGCUUAACCCCAAGCCUGCACUGGAUACUGCCUCGCUAGAGUCCGGGAGGGGAGAGCGGAAUUCCCAGUGUAGCGGUGAAAUGCGCAGAUAUUGGGAAGAACACCAGUGGCGAAGGCGGCUCUCUGGAACGGUACUGACGCUGAGACGCGAAAGCGUGGGGAGCGAACAGG